rnacentral:rRNA from 1 species
AGAGCGAACGCUGGCGGCAGGCUUAACACAUGCAAGUCGAGCGGGCGUAGCAAUACGUCAGCGGCAGACGGGUGAGUAACGCGUGGGAACGUACCUUUGGUUCGGAACAACACAGGGAAACUUGUGCUAAUACCGGAUAAGCCCUUACGGGGAAAGAUUUAUCGCCGAAAAGAUUCGGCCCGCGUCUGAUUAGCUAGUUGGUGAGGUAACGGCUCACCAAGGCGACGAUCAGUAGCUGGGUCUGAGAGGAUGAUCAGCCACAUUGGGACUGAGACACGGCCCAAACUCCUACGGGAGGCAGCAGUGGGGAAUAUUGGACAAUGGGCGGCAAGCCUGAUCCAGCCAUGCCGCGUGAGUGAUGAAGGCCCUAGGGUUGUAAAGCUCUUUUGUGCGGGAAGAUAAUGACGGUACCGCAAGAAUAAGCCCCGGCUAACUCGUGCCAGCAGCCGC